rnacentral:rRNA from 1 species
CCUACGGGUGGCUGCAGUGGGGAAUAGUGGACAAUGGGGGGAACCCUGAUCCAGCGACGCCGCGUGAGUGAAGAAGUAUUUCGGUAUGUAAAGCUCUAUCAGCAGGGAAGAAAAUGACGGUACCUGACUAAGAAGCCCCGGCUAACUACGGGCCAGCAGCCGCGGUAAUACGUAGGGGGCAAGCGUUCUCCGGAUUUACUGGGGGUAAAGGGAGCGUAGACGGUGCCGCAAUUCUGAUGUGAAAGGUCGGGGCCCAACCACGGGACUGCAUUGGAAACUGUUGAACUGGAGUACAGGAGAGGUAAGCGGCCUUCCUAGUGUAGCGGUGACAUGCGUAGAUAUUAGGCG